rnacentral:rRNA from 1 species
GACAGAGGUGGCAAGCGUUGUUCGGAUUUAUUGGGCGUAAAGAGCGCGUAGGCGGUCUUUUAAGUCGGGGGUGAAAUCCCGGGGCUUAACCCCGGAAUUGCCUCCGAUACUGGAAGACUUGAGUGCGGGAGAGGAUAGUGGAAUUCCCAGUGUAGAGGUGAAAUUCGUAGAUAUUGGGAAGAACACCAGUGGCGAAGGCAGCUAUCUGGACCGCAACUGACGCUGAGGCGCGAAAGCGUGGGGAGCAAACAGG